UUUCACGAGUGUUUGACGAUUCGUUGGUGCCAAAGUACAUCUCGAAGAAUUAAAUCGCGCGAAUCAUUUCGAUAUUUCUCGAUCUUUCGAUGUCGUAGAGUACUACGUCGAAAGUUUCAAAAAUCUUCGAUUCAUAGUUCGAAUAAUACUCGAGAAACAUCAACGUCACAGUUAAAGGACAGUAUUAAAAGCAAACAGGAGUGAUUCUUGGUGAAAGUAGACAAUAUUGCUCCAUCACGGGAAGCAGCUUUAUACGUCAGCUUUUCGUAUAAUGAGCACCGUAGCCAAUCAGGAUGAAACUCAUAUGACAACGCCAGAAUUAAUUGAGGCUCACGGUUACAUAUCAGAAACGCAUCAUAUUUGGACAGAAGAUGGAUAUUGUUUAGAUGUACAUCGAGUACUCCCUCCAAAAACAGAUGAAAAUUUAGGCUGUGAUCCCAGUGAGAACAAUUAUGCAGAUUACAAAUUUCCACAAAAUACAAAGUCUAGAGUACCGAUUCUUAUCCACCAUGGACUGUUAUCAAGUUCAGCCGAUUGGGUACUAUUAGGACCAAAGAAAGCUUUAGCGUAUGUUUUAUGUAAUAACAAUUAUGACGUUUGGUUGGGAAACGCAAGAGGUAAUGCAUAUUCUAGAAAGCAUAAACAUUAUACGACCAGAGACAAAGAAUUUUGGGAUUUCAGCUGGCAUGAAGUUGGUUAUUAUGAUUUACCAGCUACAAUAGAUUACAUUCUAGAGCAAACCGGAUAUACUAAGCUCUACUAUGUGGGUUACAGUCAAGGUACAACUGCAUUCUAUGUAAUGGCCAGUGAAAAACCUGAAUAUAACUGGAAGAUCAAGGGAAUGAUUAGUCUGGCACCUAUUGCAUUCCUCUCAAACCAGAGAAGUCCUUUGCUCAAAUUCAUUGUACACUUUUAUGGUUUAAUGGAGUGGGGAUCGUCUUAUUGCAAUCUACACCAGUGGUUCCCACGGAAUAUGUUGCAAGCACGAGCAUUGGGAACAUUAAUUCGAAAUGCUCCGGGCAGUCUCACCAAAGGUUUUUGCAUUUGUUGGUUUUACUUAAUCGCCGGAUUUGGUAGCGAUCAACUAGACAAAUCCAUGCUGCCAUUAAUUCUGGGACAUUUUCCAGCUGGUGCAUCUGCCAAGCAAAUUAUUCAUUACAGUCAAAGCAUACUGUCAGCAUCCUCCAGUUUCUUUCUCUCCCCUCGUCUCCCUUCUCAUUUAGGUGUCUCAAUGAUUCUAGGAUUUUAAUGGUCUUAAAUACUCUACUGUACCUAACUUUUCUAAUUUUAGCCACUCCCACUCUUAUUCUUCUUCUAUUAAUACAAAAAUGUUGUAUUGGAAAACAGUUGUAAUAUCUAAUUACGAUUCUUGAAGCAAUUAUCUAGAGCCAUUAAUUAAAUGCAUAAUUUACAUGGUAUUCGAAUUAUACGUUCUUAAAAUUUUUGUCUGCUUAUGUCUUUGUUUGUUCGUUCUGAGGUAACUCAAAAUUUACUAAACAAACUUUGAUUAAAGUACCACUAUUCUGUUUCGUAUGUAUUCGAGAACAGGAUAGGCUAUUUAUCAUCGCAUCUAUACUCAACGUGGGAUCAUUUCGUAAAUUUGAUUAUGGAGUGCCUAAAAACCUAAAAAUAUACGGAUCAACGCAACCGCCGACAUAUGAUCUGGAAAGAAUAAAAACACCAAUUGUAAUAUUUUAUAGCGAAAAUGAUUUCAUGACU